rnacentral:lncRNA from 1 species
UAGUGGGAAGAUCGGCGGAGUCGGCGGCCGAACCCACUGGGAACUAUAUUUAUAUAGUUCUCACCCCGUGUGGUUUUGGGGUACAGGUACACACGAGAGCGGACCGGCAGAUGAUCGCGGCAAGGGCUUAGCGCCCUAGUGCUUAUUGGUAGAUGCUUUCCUAUUGCAUUAGUUGUUACCCUAUAUACUUGAGAGUAGAUGAUGUAUAGGUGUGAGGCUAUUUUGGAAAUGUAAACUUUAAGUUUAUGCUUUGGAUGAAUGUAUAGUUAAGUUGAAAUCAAAUGUAUCAAAGUUGAAUGGAUGUAAUAGCUUAGUAUCUCUCUUUUGUUUCACUUGUAUGUUUACUACUCGUGACGCUUGCUCUUGUAAUGUUCAGCACUGUUUGUGCUCUCGCUGUUGUUGCAUGAUCAUGUAUGUAUUCAAGUUGAUUUCCUGGGGACUUGUUGUACAUGAUCUCGUUGUUGAGCCUUGGGCGGACAGGGGAGGUGCUGUCCGUUCGGCGGUCCGCCCGCCGCGCCCGAACCGUGCCAAUUCGGUAGCGGCCUCGGG